UUGCUGACGAGUGGCGGACGGGUGAGUAAUGCUUGGGAAUCUGGCUUAUGGAGGGGGAUAACUACGGGAAACUGUAGCUAAUACCGCGUAAUAUCGAAAGAUUAAAGUGUGGGACCUUCGGGCCACAUGCCAUAGGAUGAGCCCAAGUGGGAUUAGGUAGUUGGUGAGGUAAAGGCUCACAAAGCCGACGAUCUCUAGCUGGUCUGAGAGGAUGGCCAGCCACACUGGAACUGAGACACGGUCCAGACUCC
rnacentral:rRNA from 1 species